AAGUCGUAACAAGGUUUCCGUAGGUGAACCUGCGGAAGGAUCAUUACCAAAUCCAAAACUUUAUCAACACCUUAUGUGCACUGAGAAUGGUUCCGUUCCCUGCCAACCACUUGUGGUGCAGGGGAGUGUAACUCUUUUGUUCACUCCUCUGUUUAAAGUGGGCAGGUGGGGAAUGUAUUUUUUCAACACCUUUUCAACCAUAUACCCAUUAAAACAUGCUGAAAGCAACCAAAAAACGAAACAUGAGACAACUUUUAACGGUGGAUCUCUUGGCUCGU
rnacentral:misc_RNA from 1 species